rnacentral:rRNA from 1 species
UACGAAGGGGGCUAGCGUUGCUCGGAAUUACUGGGCGUAAAGCGCACGUAGGCGGAUUGUUAAGUCGGGGGUGAAAUCCUGGAGCUCAACUCCAGAACUGCCUUCGAUACUGGCGAUCUCGAGUUCGGGAGAGGUGAGUGGAACUGCGAGUGUAGAGGUGAAAUUCGUAGAUAUUCGCAAGAACACCAGUGGCGAAGGCGGCAUCCUGGACCAACACUGACGCUGAGGAGCGAAAGCCAGGGGAGCAAAACGGGG